AUGACAUACCUGAAUUAUUUUCGGAAGAGUCUUUGGAAUUCUGUCUCAUUAUCAGGAACUACGAAACAUCGUCGAAGUGUCUCCGACUGGGAAGCUUCAUAUCUUCCAUUAUCGCCAUUGUUGUGCUCAAUUCCUUUUAAUGGUAGGAUUUUGAACGGGCUUCUGCGAGUGUUUCUCCCAAGGUCUCGUAGCCGAAUUCACCACCGUUAA